ensembl:lncRNA
AAUCGAACUCCCAACCCUGGGCUCCUAACUCAUUGAGCUACACAGCCAGCUAUGUCUACAUUAUUACAUUAUUCUUUGUCCUCUUUUUCUUCCUCCCUGCUUGGAAGGAUGGGCCAAAGCAAGAUGGGAUUUACAAGCUGGUAUACAUUCCCAGGGCCCACUUAUGGCUGUCAGCGUUAGCAUGUCUUCAGGUCUUCAGAGAUGAGGUCAUGAACAGGCAGAGACAAGCAAAUUAAGCUACAAUCCAAUAUUUAAAAAGAUUAAAAGGGGAGGCUGCUUUGCUUCAGCUGUUUUAGUGUCUUGGAUGCUUUUCUUCCUCUUUCCCCACACAGAGCAGCUUUUGCCUAAUGUGGUUUGACAGUGAACUUCGAAGGCUGUCAGGUGGUGACAUCUUUCAGGGUAUCAAGCAUCACAUGGGCUUAUUGUAACUGGUGGGCUCACUCUCCAUUCCAGUCAAGUUAGGGGCAAGACGCAAAAUUUGAUCAUCUUCAGAAGAUGUGUGCCUGUGUGCGCACAUGCGCAAGCAAGCAAGCAUAGACCUACAUGUGUGUUUCCUUACUGCUAUGAUGAGGAGAUUUCAAAAAGGAUUAUGGUUUCAUAAAAUCACAAAUCAUUUAGCUGUGCUAUGGGAUGUCUUCCACACACACCUGCUGGUUAUCUCUGGUGGCUGCCUGGCUAUCUAGAAAUCUGACUGUCACACAGCAAACUCUGAACUAUUUAUGACUGCAGCAGCUUCCAAAAUCUAUAAAUAGAUGGCAUUGGAGCCUUGUUUUUCUCUCUACUUCUGCACAUCUCCCUCUGUUUACUUCUGCCUGUCUGUUUUUCUGUCAUCAAGUGCUUGGAUAGAAGCUGUUUAUUUCUGCGUACUACAUCAAAAGCAGAGUUCAAAAGUAACCAGUAAUUAUGUGCAGGGGAGCUGUACACGGUUACAGUCUUUCUACCUGAAAAAGCCCUUCACAUUUUCCUCCUAUGGAAGCACCAGAACUAUUAUAUCAACUGAGAAAAAAAGAAAAGAAAACCAAAACAAAACAAAACACCAGGCAGCAAACAGCAAAUUCCAUGACCUCUACUGCUGACAGAAAUCAAGUGCUCAGGAAGCUCAAAACCCAUCCAAGGCUCUCAUAUAAUAAGAAUAUGGAGCACUCACAGCAUGUUUUGAGUGUUCAAAGUCUUUCUGGGUUAAUGGCAUGGUUGAAGGUGCAGGAGUCAAAGAAAAUGUUUCUCUAGGUCUUUAAGCAUGUGUUUAGGCUGCUGUAUUUACCAAAGGAAAAAUGACUUCAAGCUGAAUUAAGUAAGUUGAAUUUUGUGAUGUAUGCAGUUAAAACUAAUUAUACCCAUUGCCUCACCUACUCUUAAUCUCUCAGCCCUUCUCUAUUUUCCUCCUUUUUUCCUCUUCCUCUUCCAAUAGUCAAGGAUCAAAAUUACACACAUUCAAAAUUGUCAUAUUCCACUUCAGUUUCCAGACUUCUCCUAACAUCCCCCAUUCUGGAGAUCUUUUUCCUCAACCUUUGCCCCAAAUACAACAUCAUACCUUGUUCAUUAGGAGGGAUGAAU